rnacentral:rRNA from 1 species
UUUGUGGUUCAACUGAUUUGAAGAGCUUGCUCAGAUAUGACGAUGGACAUUGCAAAGAGUGGCGAACGGGUGAGUAACACGUGGGAAACCUACCUCUUAGCAGGGGAUAACAUUUGGAAACAGAUGCUAAUACCGUAUAACAAUAGCAACCGCAUGGUUGCUACUUAAAAGAUGGUUCUGCUAUCACUAAGAGAUGGUCCCGCGGUGCAUUAGUUAGUUGGUGAGGUAAUGGCUCACCAAGACGAUGAUGCAUAGCCGAGUUGAGAGACUGAUCGGCCACAAUGGGACUGAGACACGGCCCAUACUCCUACGGGAGGCAGCAGUAGGGAAUCUUCCACAAUGGGCGAAAGCCUGAUGGAGCAACGCCGCGUGUGUGAUGAAGGGUUUCGGCUCGUAAAACACUGUUGUAAGAGAAGAAUGACAUUGAGAGUAACUGUUCAAUGUGUGACGGUAUCUUACCAGAAAGGAACGGCUAAAUACGUGCCAGCAGCCGCGGU